CAACAAAAACUGCCGGACCAUUCUCUAUUAAAGUUUCUUCUUCAUCCUUCGUAGGAUUGCUGUUGCAUAUAUUGCCCGACACCAAACCGAAGAAGUUGUCGAUCACUUUGGACUUUUCUCAAACAGGGUGUUGUCCGGUGAUUGAAUUUCUCUUCACACAAGGACAGAUUGUGAAGGAGAUUUUGUAAACUAUCAGCAGCAGUAGAGAACAAGGCACAAAGAAUAAAGGAAAUUGAUGGACCCAA
rnacentral:lncRNA from 1 species